rnacentral:lncRNA from 1 species
CAUACCCUCAGACUUUUAACAAAUGCUUUAAUAAUUUGUGCCCUUUUCAUGGUAAAGAUUGCUCCCGAUCCUACGUUAGUAAGUACGACAUAAGUUAUUUAUUUCAAGAUGUGUUUAUCUCACCUUUCCUCUCCAGCACUUUCCUUAAUUGAGCUGAAGAGAUAUUUAUCAGUUGAGGGAACAUGACUAAGAAAGAGACAAAUGGUCCCUUGGUGUGUAAGACUCCAUCAGUUCAAACAGAUAGUGAGACCAAGCCUGAGACUGGGAAAUUGGCUGGAAGGCAGGAAGUAUCCAAAGAAAUGGAAUCACAGAAGAUGAUACUCCAUAGAAUCUGCAGAGGUAGGAAUAUUUUUCUGUUUCUCCAUUUUGGAGACCUUCAUGAAUGCAAGGACAGGCUUGGCAGGCAUCAAGGAAAUUCAGAGGAAGGACGACAACAUAAUGUGAUCGGUGUGGGAAAAGCUUCAUGCACAGCUUGAAGUUCUUGGACAUCAAAGAAUCCACACAGGGAAAAGCCCUUUCAGUGUCAAGAGUGUGGGAGAACCUUUAGUCAGAACACAACCCUGUUUAAGUACCUCAUAAUUCACACGGGUGAAAAACCGUAUCAGUGUAAUCAGUGUAGUAAAAAUUUUAGUCCAGGCUCAGUCCUUAUUAAACAUCAGAGAAAUCACACUGGGGAGGAACUGAACGGGUGCAGUGAAUGUGGCAAAACCUUCAGUAACAGCAUAGGACUUGCUGUGGCAAGCAGAGAUACCAUAGCUUAAUAAAAUGUUACCAAAAAUAAAAAAAAAAAAAAAAAAAAUGUUACCAGUGCCGGGAGUGUGGGAAGGCUUUUAGGGAAAGUUCAGAUUUCACUCAACAUCAGCAAACUCAUACAGGAGAAAAAGCCUUAGAAUGCAGUGAAUGUGGAAAAGCCUUCAGUGUAAGUUCUGACCUUAAUAGACAUUACAGAAUUCACACUGGGGAGAAACCCUGAGUAUGAUGAGUGUGGGAAGGCCUUCCAUCUGACCUCAUGUCUCACUGAGCACCAGAUUAUCCACAACAAAGAAAAACUCUACAUGUGUAAUAAGUGUGGAAAAUCCCUCAAACAGAGGUCAGGUCUCUUUCAACAUUAAAACACACACACACACACACACACACACACACACAACUAAUCAAAACCCAUUGCUUUAAUUAUUGUAGUAAAAUUGUUGAGCAGCAUUUGCAUUUAGGCAAGUCUCCCAUGCUUUCUGGGCAUCUGUGAAUUAUGGGAUUAAAAUAGUAGAAUCUGGGCAGCCCCCGUGGCGCAGCAGUUUAGCGCCAACUGCAGCCCAGGGCGUGAUCCUGGAGAUCCUGGAUCCAGUCCCACGUUGGGCUCUCUGCAUGGUGCCUGCUUCUCCCUCUGCCUGUGUCUCUGCCUCUCUCUCUGCGUCUCUAUGAAUAAAUAAAUAAAAUCUUAAAAAAAAAAAAUAGUAAAAUCUCUCAAAGGUCCCUUCCACCUCUAAAAGUAAGUGGUUUUUGUGAAUACCAUCAACCCUCUAUAUUUAAUUCCUAAACAUUCAAAAGUGUCCUCCACAAAUUUGUCCCAGGAUUUCCGUAUUACUUUCCUUUUCUGGUCUCACUUUGCCUAGCUACCCAAGUACACUCCAGCUUCCAUGUCUGUCUUCCAUUCCUCCCCCUUCAUGCCCUGAAUACCCUUUUUUUUUUUGGAGGGGGCGUUGAUUCCCUAAGUUUAUGUAUGCCUGCUGUAACCCCAUUUGGGAUAAAUAACCUUUCUGAGUGCUGGGUCUCCCAGAGCUUAUAGCAGUGCUUCUGAUGUGUCACUAAAAGUGGCCUGGCUUAUGGAGUAGUGAACUGUCCAGUACCUCCCCUUCAGAGCCCUGGAAGAUUUGUCUGUGCGCAUUCAGUAAAUGUGGUGACAGUUGGGAUUACCUUCUAAAAGAUCUUGCUCUGGCAGCUCUGGUGGCCCAGCAGUUUAGCGCCGCCUUCAGCCCAGGGUGUGAUCCUGGAGACCGGGGAUCGAGUCCCACUUCAGGCUCCCUACAUAGAGCCUGCUUCUCCCUCUGCCUGUGUCUCUGCCUCUCUCUCUCUCUCUCUCUCUCUCUCUCUCUCUCUGUGUGUGUGUGUGUGUGUCUGUCAUGAAUAAAUAAAUAAAAUCUUUAAAAAAAAAUAAAAGAUCUUGCUCUUUCAUGGAGGUCCUAGGAAGUGCUCCUUCCAGGCACUGUUACGUUAAUGCUAUGUUAAUGCAGAGAAAAAUAAAAUGGGUUGGUUCUGGAGAGGAGUUCUGAGGUUUUCCCAAAACAAAGAGCAGAGAAUGGUUCAAGUCAAAAGAAUGUAGAUACUUUGUUCAAUCAGAAGAUGGGUAGCAGGGAUCAAAAAGAGUAUACCCUAGUGAGAUUAAACUGGAUAAGCUAGAAAAUAUGCUCCUUUAGCAUGGCUCCCACAUGAGAGUUAACUUGUUUCAAGACCCAGUGACCCUGAGGGCAUUAGCUGUCAUUCCUAUUAAGUGUCAUAUCACUGUUAAUGUAGAGCUAUCCUUUUUAUAUUGAUUAGCCAGCAUACUUACAAGUGGAAAGACCCUAACUUCCCCCAGGUUUCAAGGGAGAGAUUAAACUUCCAAGCAUAACAAUCUUGGAGGGUAACUCAAGCUAUGGACACUUGAGCCUGGCUUGACAUUAUGACAUUUUUAACAUAAUUUACUGAGUGGUUGAUGAAUCACUGAAUGCGGUGCCAUUUUUUGCCUGCUCUCUCCUCCCUUUUAUUCCCUGACUACUUACAUUCUUUCUGCCACAUCAUUUCUGCCUAAUUAUCUACGUUCUUUCCAAAUUGUGUUUCCUAAAUAUCUAUGUUUCAGGGAGGAAGCAGAGAUAGUUCAGUCAGAGAUGAAAG